rnacentral:rRNA from 1 species
UGGGGAAUAUUGCACAAUGGGCGCAAGCCUGAUGCAGCCAUGCCGCGUGUAUGAAGAAGGCCUUCGGGUUGUAAAGUACUUUCAGUCGGGAGGAAGGUGGUAAGGUUAAUAACCUUAUCAAUUGACGUUACCGACAGAAGAAGCACCGGCUAACUCCGGGCCAGCAGCCGCGGUAAUACGGAGGGUGCAAGCGUUAAUCGGAAUUACUGGGCGUAAAGCGCACGCAGGCGGUUGAUUGAGUCAGAUGUGAAAUCCCCGGGCUUAACCCGGGAAUUGCAUCUGAUACUGGUCAGCUAGAGUCUUGUAGAGGGGGGUAGAAUUCCAUGUGUAGCGGUGAAAUGCGUAGAGAUGUGGAGGAAUACCGGUGGCGAAGGCGGCCCCCUGGACAAAGACUGACGCUCAGGUGCGAAAGCGUGGGGAGCAAACAGG